UACGUAGGGGGCUAGCGUUGUCCGGAUUUAUUGGGCGUAAAGAGCUCGUAGGCGGUCAGUCGCGUCUGCUGUGAAAACUCGGGGCUUAACUCCGGGCCUGCAGUGGGUACGGGCUGACUAGAGUGCGGUAGGGGAGACUGGAAUUCCUGGUGUAGCGGUGAAAUGCGCAGAUAUCAGGAGGAACACCGGUGGCGAAGGCGGGUCUCUGGGCCGUAACUGACGCUGAGGAGCGAAAGCGUGGGGAGCGAACAGG
rnacentral:rRNA from 1 species